GACAGAGGCCCCAAGCGUUAGGCGGAAUCACUGGGCUUAAAGCGUGUGUAGGCGGACGCCUAAGUGUCUUGUGAAAUCCCACGGCUCACCCGUGGAACUGCUGGGCAUACUGGGCGUCUUGGGCCAACUAGGGGCAGCCGGAACAAGCGGUGGAGCGGUGAAAUGCGUAGAUAUCGCGUGGAACGCCGAAGGUGAAAACAGGCUGCUGGGGUUGCGCCGACGCUGAGAAACGAAAGCCAGGGGAGCAAACGGG
rnacentral:rRNA from 1 species